CUUUCUUUUAUAUAAUAAUUAUAAUAAAAAUCAAAACUGGUCGCCGGUGCUGUAUUCUAUAUAAUCGUGGGUUAGAUUCUAUUGCCACCGCCUUCAGCUAUUCUGUUGAAGGUCGAAUCGAAAAGGGCGAUGAUUAUAACGAGAGAGGCCUUUAGUAGGAAAUACCCAAUUCCAUCUCAAAAUCAAGAAAAGAAGAAAAAAAACAAAUAUAAGUCAGAAUUUGAAGGUGCCGCCAUCCCUUUUCAUCGAUGGGGUUUGGCUUUGGUAUCACAGAUUCUGCCGUCUUCUUUUUUCUCCUCUUCAUCUUUCUGUCGCUUCGAAUUGAAUUGGGUUUUUUUCCUACUGUGAUAGAUCUUUCCAAAUUUACACUUGAUAUGAGCCCUGAAACUUUUCAUAUUCUUUACGAAUUCUUGAUUUUUAUCAACUUUGUUUUUUCUUUUAAGAUUUGUUGUCGGUUUUUUGCACUCAGUUACAUUUACUUCAAUUUUCUGUAGUUUUUUUAAACCUAAAAUUUUGGGGUUUUAUAAUAAGUAGAAAACAUUCGUUUGCACAUGUAUACCGAGUUUGAAUCUAUGUUCAAACAGUUCUUUUGGACUGGGAGAAAAUUCAACUCGGUGAAGUGGGAUAGGAUUUACAUUCCUACAGAUAAUUGACUCAAGUGAGGCUUGAGAAUUUUUUUUCAAGGGUUUUUAAGAAAGCCCUCUUGGUGGGCUAUCGAUCUUGAUUCAAAACUAUGAGUUGGCGGAUUCGAAUGCGUUGGCAGAUAAAUGUGUAUACCUAGUAUUGGUAUUAGCGGGCUAUCGAUCUUGAUUCGAAACUAUGCGUUGGCGGAUAAAUGUGUGUACCUAGUAUUGGUAUUGGUGAGCUAUCGGUCUUGAUUCGAAACUUUGCGUUGGCGGAUAAAUGUUGGCGGAUAAAUGUGUGUACCCAGUAGUGGUAUUGGUGGGCUAUCGUUCUUGAUUCUAAAGUAUGCGUUGGCGGAUAAAUGUGUACCUAGUAUUGGUAUUUGUGGGCUAUCGGUCUUGUUCGAAACUAUGCGUUGGCGGAUAAAUUUGUGUACCUAGUAUUGGUAUUGGUGGGCUAUCGGUCUUGAUUCAAAACUUUGCAUAGGCGGAUAAAUGUGUGUACCCAGUAGUGGUAUUGGUGGGCUAUCGGUCUUGAUUCGAAACUUUGCGUUGGCGGAUAAAUGUGUGUACCUAGUAGUGGUAUUGGUGGGCUAUCGUUCUUGAUUCUAAAGUAUGCGUUGGCGGAUAAAUGUGUACCUGGUAUAGGUGGGCUAUUGGUCUUGAUUCGAAACCGCUGAGUACAAAGAGAAAUGUUAUGAAGAACAAAAAAAUAGAAGUCAGAAUGUGAAAACCUCGAACGAGAAGUUCACCUAUGCAUACUGUCCGAAGAAAAGAAAACAAGAUUAUUUAGACAUGGAGCAUUAGGAUUUGCAUUCCUAUAGACCAGUGACUCAAUUGAGGCUUGAGAAGAAUUUUUUUUGAGGGUUUUUAAGGAAGCCCUCUUGAUUAAAUGGGAGUGGAAGAUCAGAUUUGAGAGGAGACGAAGGAAACAGUAAAUGGUGGUGGAUAGUAAUCCAUAACGUGGCAUUGGUGGCAUGUAUUUGCAGAACAAUAUUCUAUUAGAACAUAGUUAUAUGUCCAUGGUGUUAUGAUUCAGUAAUAAAGAAAUUAAAAUACAUAUAUUAGAUUGAUAUAUGAAAAAACCAUAAAUUUUACUCAAAAUUGAAUAAUAAAAAAAAUAAGUACCAAAACUAUAGUACAUGGUAUCCAAUAAAUGGUAUUGGUGGGCUAUCGGUCUUGAUUCAAAACUAUGCGUUGGCGGAUAAAUGUGUAUACCUAGUAUUGGUAUUAGCGGGCUAUCGGUCUUGAUUCGAAACUAUGCGUUGGCGGAUAAAUGUGUGUACCUAGUAUUGGUAUUGGGGUGGGCUAUCGGUCUUGAUUCGAAUGCGUUGGCAGAUAAAUGUGUACCUGAUAAUGGUAUUGGUGGGCUAUCGGUCUUGAUUCGAAACUAUGAGUUGGCGGAUUCGAAUGCGUUGGCAGAUAAAUGUGUAUACCUAGUAUUGGUAUUAGCGGGGUAUCGGUCUUGAUUCGAAACUAUGCGUUGGCGGAUAAAUGUGUGUACCUAGUAUUGGUAUCGGUGGACUAUCGGUCUUGAUUCGAAACUUUGCGUUGGCGGAUAAAUGUGUGUACCCACUAGUGGUAUUGGUGGGUUAUCGUUCUUGAUUCUAAAGUAUGCGUUGGCGUGUAUGCCAAGACAUUGUUAUACUGUUAAGACAAAAAAUUGGUAGUGAAUCUCUGAAUUUGUCAAAAUUGUUUAAUUAGUGAAUCUCUUAGUCUCUCAAUGUCAAUGUGUGUACUCACCUUUUAUAGCUAUUUAUUUGUUUCAAACAUGGAGUUUUACCGUCUUACACGAUUGGAUUGAUGUUAACUAGGAAAUUGUCUUGAGUUUUGGAGGUGUUUAUUGAUGAGUGAAGCCGAAGAGUUUUACCGUCUUAACAGAUUUAUCUUGAUUGUUGACAAUAUAACCUUUGGUGUGAUCUAGUUUUGGAAAGAGGAGCUUUCUGCUGGGUUGAAAUUAUGGUCUGUAUUAGUUUAUCAGUUGGUUUGCAGCAGUUUUUUUAUGGCCUGUACUAUUUUUUGAGUUGGUCUUUAUGACGUAGUGAAUGCUUAAACCCUUUUAUAUACCCAUGCUUUGUAACAUGGUGUACUAACAUUUUGUACUUGUUACACUAGCAUCUCUCAUGCUAGUUAAAGUUUUAAUAUGAAUAUCUUUUUGCCUUUUUAAAAAAAAAAGAGGUUUCUUAGACAAAUAUGCAAGUGGACAAAUAUUCUUAAUUAGUAUCUUAUAGGAUAAUCCAUUUAGUCUUUUCUAUUGGUUUGAUUAUCACUAACAACAUGCUAUAAUAUUUGAAAAGAAGACGAAAUGCUAUAAUAGACAAAAAGACAAAAUUUAUAGUCUAGUGAUAUACUGAUAUUUAACACCUUUAUGAUGUUUUAUGAUUAAGAAAUUAGAUAAUGUCUACAUAAUUUAUGUCUUUUUUGGACUUCAAAAGAAUUAUGAGUUAGUUCGGAGCUAUAUCCUUUUUUGAGCUUGAGAUACCACCAGCCUGACAGGUAUUAGUCAGGUAUUAUGCUUUUGCUUUUGGUUUUAGACGUCGUGGAGAUGGUUAAGAAAGGUGAAGUGUAGAUUGUCCUAAGUGCAUUUACUGCAAGAAAUUUGGUCAUAUUGAUUAUAAGCAUUAUUCUUUUAUUGGCUUCAUAGAAGCACUAGUAAAUUUGACUUUGCCUACUGAUAAUGGAAGAAAAAAUGAAGGUAAAAUUGGUUAAGAUUCAAUGAAGGUCCAUUUCCAACUAUUCUGAAUUUUCGGUUAUUCAGAACCAUGGUCUCGCAGUUGGUGAAGCAUGAGCGUAUCGAAACUACUGUUGCCAAGGCUAAGGAGGUUAGAAGGCUGGCAGAUAAUAUGGUACAGCUUGGAAAAGAGGGAUCUGUAUGUGCUGCAAGGCGUGCUGCUAGUUUUGUGCGAGGAGACGAUGCUCUAUUCUAUAUAAUCGUGGGUUAGAUUCUAUUGUCACCGCCUUCAGCUAUUAUGUUGAAGGUAAAAUUGAAAGAGGGGCGAUGAUUAUAAUGAGAGAUGACUUUAGUAGGAAAUACCCAAUUCCCUCCCAAAAUCAAAAAAAGAAGAAAAAAAAAA